CCUACGGGAGGCAGCAGUGAGGAAUAUUGGUCAAUGGACGAGAGUCUGAACCAGCCAAGCAGCGUGAAGGAUGACUGCCCUAUGGGUUGUAAACUUCUUUUAUAUGGGAAUAAAACGUUCCACGUGUGGGAUUUUGUAUGUACCAUAUGAAUAAGGAUCGGCUAACUCCGUGCCAGCAGCCGCGGUAAUACGGAGGAUCCGAGCGUUAUCCGGAUUUAUUGGGUUUAAAGGGGGCGUAGGUGGAUUGUUAAGUCAGUUGUGAAAGUUUGCGGCUCAACCGUAAAAUUGCAGUUGAAACUGGCAGUCUGGGGGACAGUAGAGGUGGGCGGAAUUCGUGGUGUAGCGGUGAAAUGCUUAGAUAUCACGAAGAACUCCGAUUGCGAAGGCAGUUCACUGGACUGCAACUGACACUGAGGCUCGAAAGUGUGGGUAUCAAACAGGAUUAGAUACCCGUGUAGU
rnacentral:rRNA from 1 species